rnacentral:rRNA from 1 species
GAUGAACGCUGGCGGCGUGCCUAAUACAUGCAAGUCGAGCGAACAGAUGAGGAGCUUGCUCCUCUGACGUUAGCGGCGGACGGGUGAGUAACACGUGGAUAACCUACCUAUAAGACUGGGAUAACUUCGGGAAACCGGAGCUAAUACCGGAUAAUAUAUUGAACCGCACGGUUCAAUAGUGAAAGACGGUUUUGCUGUCACUUAUAGAUGGAUCCGCGCCGCAUUUGCUAGUUGGUAAGGUAACGGCUUACCAAGGCAACGAUGCGUAGCCGACCUGAGAGGGUGAUCGGCCACACUGGAACUGAGACACGGUCCAGACUCCUACGGGAGGCAGCAGUAGGGAAUCUUCCGCAAUGGGCGAAAGCCUGACGGAGCAACGCCGCGUGAGUGAUGAAGGUCUUCGGAUCGUAAAACUCUGUUAUUAGGGAAGAACAAAUGUGUAAGUAACUAUGCACGUCUUGACGGUACCUAAUCAGAAAGCCACGGCUAACUACGUG